UACGGAGGGUGCGAGCGUUGUCCGGAAUCAUUGGGCGUAAAGCGCGUGUAGGCGGCCCGGUAAGUCCGCUGUGAAAGUCGGGGGCUCAACCCUCGGAUGCCGGUGGAUACUGUCGGGCUAGAGUGCGGGAGAGGCGAGUGGAAUUCCUGGUGUAGCGGUGAAAUGCGCAGAUAUCAGGAGGAACACCGGUGGCGAAGGCGGAUCUCUGGGCCGAUACUGACGCUGAGGAGCGAAAGCGUGGGGAGCGAACAGG
rnacentral:rRNA from 1 species